GAAAAAUGAAGAAUAAUGAAAAAUUCUGUAUAAUCUUUACAUUGAUUAAAACAGGAGUUUGUGUUGGGUUCUUACAGAUCAAGAUCCAUGCUGAAAUCUCAGAGUAACCAUGAAAAGACUCAUAAAUGAGAAGAGUCUCAUUCUUACAGAGUUCAAGAAAGAAUGAUCUGCUGUUAUGAACGAGGUAGCUUCAAGCUGAAUUCUCAUCUCCUGGAACAUCCCAUAAUAUCUCAAAAGGACACAAAGACAGAUGGAGAAAGUUUGAACCUUGACAAGAGCAGUUGAGGCAACACUCUCCUGCUACAAGCAUUGGGAAAUUAGUGUGAGAUUUCUUUUCAUUUCCUUCUCAAGACCAUGUGAUAUGCAUCUGUGAGGACCAAAGAAUGGGAGGAUGGAAGGGUCUCCAAGUUCCAUCAUGAAGAUUGGUGCAGAGUGAGAAAUAGCAAUUUGUAGACUGACACUUUGAUACUCAAAAUUCUCGGAUUAAUGGAGACAAGAUAUAUCAUGUUUUUUCCCUGAAUGUUUUCAUAUGAUUCUUUCUAGGGGCAAUGUAGCUUGGCAUUCAUCAGUGCCAGCCUUAUCCCUGAGGCUGUGGGCUCUGUAUACUGUAUCUGCUCUGCCCUCAUUGUGCACAACUCAGCAUAAAGGGUGAGAUCCCUGUUCUCCUCAGCGCAGAUGCUGUAAAUGUUGAACCUGUCUGGCCUGACUCACUUCCAAAGACUCUUUGACAAUAGUUAUGGAUUAGAAAAGGUGUUCCUUGGGCAGGCCUGGUGACAGAAGCCUAUAGUUCCAGCAUUUGGAAGGUAGAGAUUGAAGGAUCACCACAAAUCCAAGGCCAACUUGCUUGGCCUACUUAGCAAAGGAAGCAUCCCUGAAUGCGGAUCGUUUUGUAUAUUUUGACUGAUUGCUGGCAAGAUAGAGAGACAUAAAUAUUUCUGGAAAUGAACAUGGUAUAAACAUAGCAUUAGCCAGGCUGCAACUCUGUGUGUAUGUGUGAUAGCAAGUGUGGUCUGAAGAGAUGUUUAUGGUGCCGUCAGCCAACAAACUUGUCUCUCCCUUCUCUGAUCAAGAGUCUUUAAUGAUUGGAGCUCCAGGCCUAGGGAUGAGAGUCAGGAAAUGUUUUGGAGGCUGGAAAAACAUUUCAGAUUUUCAGAAUUAGUUAACUUAAAAACCCGCCAUCUGCAUACUUGCUCCUGUCCUUCUGCUCAUCUUUCAGUCUUACAUGUAGGAAGCACAUCCCCCACAGAGCUGAUGUGACUUUAGGAAUUCCAGCUGUUGUCCAGCUCAUCUUAAUGACAGUGCUGAUCAACCUGGCUGCUGGGAGAAGGAAGUGUUUCUGACCUCAGACUCCACCAGAGCCCAGGCCCAUAAAAUACAUGUAAGCCGGCAACUGUGACUUUUUAUUUUCUUUCCUUAAAAAUAAAUAAAUAAAUCAGACCCUGUCCCACGGAGGCCAGACUCCAGUGUAGGAGGACUGAGUGUAAAGACGUUAGCAGCCGAGCUGAGAUGGGGGUGUUUUCACGUCUGGGAUAUAUUGCUUUGUCUAACAAGGCGCCCCAGCAGGCUUCCAAUUGUGGCGUCUCCAGACCCUCCCAGCUGCGCAGGCUGAUUGACAGACUGUGGGCAGAUGCAGUGCCAAACUCCAAUAAAGAGAGGGCCUUGGGAAAAUAUAAGGCAAUUAUUGAUGGGCAGGAAUCCACUAAUCAGACAAUUUCAAAAUUAAUCCCAUAUUCCCUUACUGUAUUAGCUUUCUUUCUUGUUUGUAUUUAUAUAGCAAAUUCAUGACUUCAGUGAAAAUUCUUCCCUCCAGCCCAAUUAUGUCUCUCCGAGGGCAUUAAAUUAAAAAACAAGAGAUAUUGAAA